rnacentral:rRNA from 1 species
UACGGAGGGGGCUAGCGUUGUUCGGAAUUACUGGGCGUAAAGCGCGCGUAGGCGGUUUUUCAAGUCAGGGGUGAAAGCCCGGAGCUCAACUCCGGAAUUGCCCUUGAAACUGGAUGACUUGAGUCUUGGAGAGGUCAGUGGAAUUCCGAGUGUAGAGGUGAAAUUCGUAGAUAUUCGGAAGAACACCAGUGGCGAAGGCGACUGACUGGACAAGUACUGACGCUGAGGUGCGAAAGCGUGGGGAGCAAACAGG